rnacentral:rRNA from 1 species
AUUGAACGCUGGCGGCAUGCUUUACACAUGCAAGUCGAACGGCAGCGCGGGCUUCGGCCUGGCGGCGAGUGGCGAACGGGUGAGUAAUACAUCGGAACGUGCCCAGUAGUGGGGGAUAGCUCGGCGAAAGCCGGAUUAAUACCGCAUACGACCUGAGGGUGAAAGCGGGGGAUCUUCGGACCUCGCGCUAUUGGAGCGGCCGAUGGCAGAUUAGCUAGUUGGUGGGGUAAAGGCCUACCAAGGCGACGAUUGGUAGCUGGACUGAGAGGACGACCAGCCACACGGGGACUGAGACACGGCCCAGACGCCUACGAGAGGCAGCAGUGGGGAAUUUUGGACAAUGGGCGAAAGCCUGAUCCAGCAAUGCCGCGUGUGUGAUGAAGGCCUUCGGGUUGUAAAGCACUUUUGGCGGGAACGAAAAGGACUGUGCCAAUACCACGGUUCGAUGACGGUACCCGCAGAAUAAGCACCGGCUAACUACGUG